rnacentral:rRNA from 1 species
GAUGAACGCUGGCGGCGUGCCUAAUACAUGCAAGUCGAGCGAACAGACGAGGAGCUUGCUCCUCUGACGUUAGCGGCGGACGGGUGAGUAACACGUGGAUAACCUACCUAUAAGACUGGGAUAACUUCGGGAAACCGGAGCUAAUACCGGAUAAUAUAUUGAACCGCAUGGUUCAAUAGUGAAAGACGGUUUUGCUGGCACUUAUAGAUGGAUCCGCGCCGCAUUAGCUAGUUGGUAAGGUAACGGCUUACCAAGGCAACGAUGCGUAGCCGACCUGAGAGGGUGAUCGGCCACACUGGAACUGAGACACGGUCCAGACUCCUACGGGAGGCAGCAGUAGGGAAUCUUCCGCAAUGGGCGAAAGCCUGACGGAGCAACGCCGCGUGAGUGAUGAAGGUCUUCGGAUCGUAAAACUCUGUUAUUAGGGAAGAACAAAUGUGUAAGUAACUAUGCACGUCUCGACGGUACCUAAUCAGAAAGCCACGGCUAACUACGUG